GUGGGGAAUAUUGCACAAUGGGGGAAACCCUGAUGCAGCGAUGCCGCGUGGAGGAAGAAGGUUUUCGGAUUGUAAACUCCUUUUGUAGGGGACGAUAAUGACGGUACCCUAAGAAAAAGCUCCGGCUAACUACGUGCCAGCAGCCGCGGUAAUACGUAGGGAGCGAGCGUUGUCCGGAAUUACUGGGUGUAAAGGGAGCGUAGGCGGGACGGCAAGUCAGAUGUGAAAUAUAUGGGCUCAACCUGUAGACUGCAUUUGAAACUGCUGUUCUUGAGUGAAGUAGAGGUAAGCGGAAUUCCUAGUGUAGCGGUGAAAUGCGUAGAUAUUAGGAGGAACAUCGGUGGCGAAGGCGGCUUACUGGGCUUUUACUGACGCUGAGGCUCGAAAGCGUGGGGAGCAAACAGG
rnacentral:rRNA from 1 species